UCGCCAAACAGCUAGCCCUCAAAACCAAUAACAAUACAAUAAAUAUACAUAACCCCUAAUACACUAAAAUUCUUAAUAAACAAACCAUUUUACCCCCUUAGUAUGGGUGACAGAAAAGGAUUAAAGGAGCAAUAGAGAAAGUACCGCAAGGGAAUGCUGAAAGAGAAAUGAAAAAACCCAGUAAAGCACAAAAAAGCAGAGCUUAGCCCUCGUACCUUUUGCAUCAUGAGUUAGCCAGUAUAAAUCAAGCAAAGAGCACUUUAGUUUGAUACCCCGAAACUAAGUGAGCUACUUCAAGACAGCCUAUUACAGGGCAAACCCGUCUCUGUGGCAAAAGAGUGGGAAGAGCUUCAAGUAGCGGUGACAGACCUAUCGAACUUAGUUAUAGCUGGUUGCCUGGGAGACGGAUACAAGUUCAGCCUUUCGGCUUCUCCCCUCAACAAUUAUACUGCCCGACAAAGAGAAACCGUUAGAGUUAGUCAAAGGGGGUACAGCCCCUUUGACCAAAGAUACAACUUUUCCAGGAGGGUAAAG
rnacentral:rRNA from 1 species